rnacentral:tRNA from 1 species
GAUCGCGUAGUGUAACCGGAUAACAUUUCAGUCUACGAAACUGAAGAGUGAAGGUUCAAAUCCUUCCGCGAUCG